CCUACGGUGGGCAGCAGUGAGGAAUAUUGGUCAAUGGCCGGAAGGCUGAACCAGCCAAGCCGCGUGAAGGACGAAGGUGCCAAGCAUUGUAAACUUCUUUUGUCAAGGGACAAAAUCAGGCUCGAGAGCCUGACCGAGGGUACUUGAAGAAAAAGCAUCGGCUAACUCCGUGCCAGCAGCCGCGGUAAUACGGAGGAUGCGAGCGGUAUCCGGAUUUAUUGGGUUUAAAGGGUGCGUAGGCGGACGGUUAAGUCAGCGGUAAAAGCCCGGGGCUAAACCCCGGCGAGCCGUUGAAACUGGUUUGCUUGAGUGAGUGAGAAGUAUGCGGAAUGCGUGGUGUAGCGGUGAAAUGCAUAGAUAUCACGCAGAACUCCGAUUGCGAAGGCAGCAUACCGGCGCUCAACUGACGCUCAUGCACGAAAGUGUGGGUAUCGAACAGGAUUAGAUACCCGGGUAGUC
rnacentral:rRNA from 1 species